rnacentral:rRNA from 1 species
AGCUGGGUUUAGACCGUCGUGAGACAGGUUAUUUUUACCCUACUGAUGAAGGUCGCCGCAACGGUAAUUCAAUUUAGUACGAGAGGAACCGUUGAUUCAGAUAAUUGGUUUUUGCGGCUGUCUGACCAGGCAGUGCCGCGACGCUACCAUCUGCCGGAUUAUGGCUGAACGCCUCUAAGUCAGAAUCCGUGCCGGAACGCGGCGAUUUCGCCCCGCACGUCGUAGUUGGAUACGAAUAGGCCUUCGGGCCAUGCACCUCAGCAGGCUGGCGACGGCUCCCGGGGAGAAACCCUCGAGAGCUGGCUAGCGGAUUGUAAUGUCACCUCGCGCGGGGAUAGAUCCUCUGCAGACGACUGAAGUGACCAAGCGGGUCGUGUAAGCGGUCAAGUAGCCUUGUUGCUACGAGUCGCUGAGCGUCAG